AGUCUUUUUCAAAGAAAGAAACAUUGCAGAAGUUGGUAGUAAGCCAUUUGACUUCACUGAGGAAAUUUAUCAACUACUCCACCACUAUCAUGAGAAAUUACGCUUUAACCGUCCUUUGUCUUCUGAUGAUGGCAUUUGCAUUUUUCAUUGCUGGGCCAACGUCAAGCAAGUGUUCAGACGUGAAGGGGUAUGCAUUGAUAGCAGAAUGACUUUGUGUGCCCAUGUGAUACAACAUGGAAUCUGUGGCGCAGAAUAUAUGAUAUGCUGCAAACCGUGAUGAAGAGGCCAUUGCUGUUUCGGAGGAGUGCUCUUAAAAGCUGGCAGAUCGAAUAUUUUCAUGCGGAAAUGAUCUUAUCAUAGAUGAGUGAUAUCAACUGAACGAAAAUAGAUGAAAAAACCAACAGGGUCAUAAUAAUAAUAAUAAUAAUAAUAAUAAUAAUAAUAAUAAUAAUAAUAAUAAUAAUAAUAAAAAUAAUAAUAACAAUAAUAAUAAUAACAAUAUCGUUUUUGUCUUGCUUUGUACGAUUUUUAAUGUGAAAUCCUGUAUUGGAAUAGAUGCUGCUGUGUCUUGGGAAUUUUAUUUUACCAAUAAAAUUACACAUGUUGGCUCUA